CUCAGCUUCUGAGCUGCAGGUCAGGAUCACAAAAGCUUGCAUGUUGUCCGGGUGGUUUGACCACGGAGUUUGGCAGAGGAGCUCUCCAGAGGUCGGGCCGUAGCGUGCUGGGGAGACAGCACCUGCUCACCCUCCUCCCCAGCAGCCACUGCGUUUCGGAGAUGCUGCCAGCGGAGCCAUGAGUUCCAGCAUCCCGCGGGGCACAACAGGCUGCAGCGAUGUCGCGCGGACCCCGGUAGCGCUGGUGCUGCUGGUGCUGGCGUGGAGGCUACCAGCGGGAGCGAGCCCGGCCUCUCCUUGCCUGUGCCAGGAGGGCUGUGGAGUUCAGCAGGCUGUUUGGCUCGUUGCACAAGCAGCGACCGCAGCAGCUGUCCCCUGCAUCACCUUCGCGUUUUGGGGACGCAAGGUGGAGAGCAGGAGGCUGGCGAGCCAGGCCUUCCUGGCACUGCGAAAAACCAGCCCCACGUGGUUUGGCUUUGGCUGGGAAGGAGGGAGGGAAAGCGCAAGGAUGCUCACAUCACCAGGCAAUUUGGUGAGCAGUGGUUUAACCCAUGAAUAAAGAAAUGCUGCAUUUGCA